AUAACAUGACUACACAUGCACACACCUGAUAUGGUGACAUCCUGUAAGCAAUAAAUGGUGCUACAGCCCGUAUCCUUGCAUAAAUGGAAGUUGAAAGAGGAGGAGAAUUAAAACACAGUUUAACACAAGGAGGCGCAAACUGGCAUUUUUCCAUUUUACUAUAACUGCCGAGCAGAGCAUGUGACUAGCAGUCUUUGCGGUCUCCGAGUAGAGAUGUAUAUAAAGAUAGUGCAUGCUAAUUAGGCUGCUUAAUAAAUACAUGUUUAUUGC